AGAAUACAACGCUGGCGGCGUGCCUAACACAUGCAAGUCGAACGGAGAAAGUGGAGCAAUCCAUGAGUAAAGUGGCGACCGGGUGAGUAACACGUGACUACCUACCCUUGAGUGGGGGAUAACCUCGGGAAACCGAGGCUAAUACCGCAUAAUAUCGAAAGAUCAAAGGAGUAAUCCGCUUUUGGAGGGGGUCGCGGCUGAUUAGCUAGUUGGUAGGGUAAUGGCCUACCAAGGCGAAGAUCGGUA
rnacentral:rRNA from 1 species